rnacentral:rRNA from 1 species
GAUGAACGCUGGCGGCGUGCCUAAUACAUGCAAGUCGAGCGAAUGGAUUAAGAGCUUGCUCUUAUGAAGUUAGCGGCGGACAGGUGAGUAACACGUGGGUAACCUGCCCAUAAGACUGGGAUAACUCCGGGAAACCGGGGCUAAUACCGGAUAACAUUUCGAACCGCAUGGUUCGAAAUUGAAAGGCGGCUUCGGCUGUCACUUAUGGAUGGACCCGCGUCGCAUUAGCUAGUUGGUGAGGUAACGGCUCACCAAGGCAACGAUGCGUAGCCGACCUGAGAGGGUGAUCGGCCACGCUGGGACUGGGGCACGGCCCAGACUCCUACGGGAGGCAGCAGUAGGGAAUCUUCCGCAAUGGACGAAAGUCUGACGGAGCAACGCCGCGUGAGUGAUGAAGGCUUUCGGGUCGUAAAACUCUGUUGUUAGGGAAGAACAAGUGCUAGUUGAAUAAGCUGGCACCUUGACGGUACCUAACCAGAAAGCCACGGCUAACUACGUGCCAGCCGCCGCCGUAA